GGGGGGCCAAAAAUGGCAGUCGAGCGAGCUUGCCUAGAUGAUUUUAGUGCUCGCACUAAAUGAAACUAGAUACAAGCGAGCGGCGGACGGGUGAGUAACACGUGGGUAACCUGCCCAAGAGACUGGGAUAACACCUGGAAACAGAUGCUAAUACCGGAUAACAACACUAGACGCAUGUCUAGAGUUUGAAAGAUGGUUCUGCUAUCACUCUUGGAUGGACCUGCGGUGCAUUAGCUAGUUGGUAAGGUAACGGCUUACCAAGGCAAUGAUGCAUAGCCGAGUUGAGAGACUGAUCGGCCACAUUGGGACUGAGACACGGCCCAAACUCCUACGGGAGGCAGCAGUAGGGAAUCUUCCACAAUGGACGAAAGUCUGAUGGAGCAACGCCGCGUGAGUGAAGAAGGGUUUCGGCUCGUAAAGCUCUGUUGGUAGUGAAGAAAGAUAGAGGUAGUAACUGGCCUUUAUUUGACGGUAAUUACUUAGAAAGUCACGGCUAACUACGUGCCAGCAGCCGCGGUAAUACGUAGGUGGCAAGCGUUGUCCGGAUUUAUUGGGCGUAAAGCGAGUGCAGGCGGUUCAAUAAGUCUGAUGUGAAAGCCUUCGGCUCAACCGGAGAAUUGCAUCAGAAACUGUUGAACUUGAGUGCAGAAGAGGAGAGUGGAACUCCAUGUGUAGCGGUGAAAUGCGUAGAUAUAUGGAAGAACACCAGUGGCGAAGGCGGCUCUCUGGUCUGCAACUGACGCUGAGGCUCGAAAGCAUGGGUAGCGAACAGGAUUAGAUACCCUGGUAGUCCAUGCCGU
rnacentral:rRNA from 1 species